rnacentral:tRNA from 1 species
GAGGGUAUAGCUCAAGUGGUAGAGCACAUGCUUAGUAUGCAUGAGGUCCUGGGUUCGAUCCCCAGUCCCUUCU